CACGUAGGGCGCAAGCGUGUCCGGAAUUAUUGGGCGUAAAGCGCGCGCAGGCGGUCCUUUAAGUCUGAUGUGAAAGCCCACGGCUCAACCGUGGAGGGUCAUUGGAAACUGGGGGACUUGAGUGCAGAAGAGGAAAGCGGAAUUCCACGUGUAGCGGUGAAAUGCGUAGAGAUGUGGAGGAACACCAGUGGCGAAGGCGGCUUUCUGGUCUGUAACUGACGCUGAGGCGCGAAAGCGUGGGGAGCAAACAGG
rnacentral:rRNA from 1 species